UAAACAAAGAUCACGUGAUACAUAGUGAUAGUUUGUCGCUCUCUCUUUGUAUUGUAUGUCAUAUGUAAAGAAACUUAGAGGUUUUAUAAAUUACUGUGUAAAGAGCAUUAUUAAAUAAUGAUUGAUUCUUAAAAUUAUUCACUAUUAAUUUAUUUGUAGGUAUGUGUUAAGUGGACAUGCACAGGAGGUAUUGUCACACCAAAUUGAUCCAAGCUGCCCCUACAUUGCUCUGAAGACCAAGGUUACUCCAUCCCAGAGAAUACGAGACAAACCACAUGAACCAUGGGUUUAUUUAGAGAAAUCUAGUGGAACUGUCUACUGUGCACAUUGUACAUGCAUGGCUGGGCUUGGAGAAGUAUGCAGCCAUGUGGCGGCACUUUUGUUCAAAGUGGAGAUGGCUGUAAAGAUGGGACUGACCCAAUCAAGCUCCACAAGUAAAGCCUGUCAGUGGAAUAGCUCUUUUCGAAAAGAGGUAACCCCAGCCACCAUCUCUGGAAUAUUCAGUGAAAUUAAAGGAAGACGUACUAAGGAAAUAGAUUCUGUUCAUGCACAUGGUACAGCCCAACUUCCUCCACAAAGUGUUCUGGAUAGCCUUUAUUCCAUUGCACCCAAUGCAGCUUUCUUCACCUCUGUUAACGUGUUGUCACCAAUUGCAAACGCUGAUCUUGUGGGGAGAGAGACAAAAUACCCUCAACUUCUUUCAACGCUACAACAAGAAUUUCAAGAAGAUUCGAUAACAGAACUUUGUGCUGAAGUGUUAAAGAACUAUUCGGUGUCCUCUGCACAAGCCAGCAACUUGGAAUAUGCGACAAGGAACCAGUCUAUCAGUCCACUGUGGUACCAACACCGGACAGGGAGGAUUACUGCUUCCAAAGCCCAUGAUGUUCUCGUUAGACAACCAACAACCAAUCCUGACACUCUUGUAAAGAGAAUAGUAGGAUACAAGGUGUAUGACCUCUCCAAAAGUGCUGCUGUCAAGUGGGGAACUGAGACAGAAGAUGAAUGCAGACAAGCCUACAGUCUUCACCAGAAAGCAGGACAUAUAAAUUUCACCUGUAGGUUAUCAGGGUUUGUGAUUGACCCAAACCAUCCAUUCCUCGGAGCCAGCC